CGUUUGGUUCCUUUGCUUAUUUUUAAGCAAGUGUCACAUCAAUAUUUGGAUACUAAUUAGGAGUAUUAAAUGUAGGCUAUUUACAAAACCCAUUACAUAAGUGGAGGCUAAACAGCGAGACGAACCUAUUAAGCCUAAUUAAUCCAUCAUUAGCAAAUGUUUACUGUAGCAACACGUUGUCAAAUCAUGGACUAAUUAGGCCUCAUAGCUUCGUGUAUUCGAUUAGCCUCCGCUUAUGUAGUGGGUUUUGUAAAUAGUCUACGUUUAAUACUUCUAAUUAAUAUCUAAACAUUGAUGUGACACUUGCUUAAAAAUAAGUAAAGGAACCAAACCAGGCCUGAAUGGAACCCUGCCUUCUAAGGUUAACUCAUUGGCUUAACUAACCGGCCAUCGACGGGUCGCCGUCUCCCACUUUUCCACCCUGGUAGAUACGAGCUUUUUACUGUUGCUUCCUUUCAGAUGCAGCAACGACAACGAUAGGGGAUUUAGGCCUGGUUUGAUUUACAUUGCUUAUUUUUAAGCACCCAUCACAUCGAUAUUUAGAUAUUAAUUAGAAGUAUUAAACGUAGACUAUUUACAAAACCCACUACAUAAGCGGAGGCUAAACGGCGAGACGAAUCUAUUAAGCCUAAUUAGUCCAUAAUUUGACAAUGUGUUGCUACAGUAAAUAUUUGCUAAUGAUGGAUUAAUUAGGCUUAAUAGAUUCGUCUCGCUGUUUAGCCUCCACUUAUGUAAUGG
rnacentral:lncRNA from 1 species